CCCUAUUUAACUGCUCAAGGACUGAGACAGUUGUACAAGUUCAGAGCAAAACAAAAUGUAACCAAAACCUGGAAUUUGCGUUAUAUGUCUGUUCAACUAUAAUUUACCUCUUUCAUAUUAAAUGCACCCACACUUAUUACAUAUUUUUGACAGAGUGCAAGCCUAAUAUAUAGAAAGUAUAAAGGCAGUGAAGGGGUUAACCCUAAAC